AACGUUAGCCCUUCCCACUGGCGUGUUAGUGAGAUGAGGAGAGAAGAGCAAUACACAGGACUAAAAAUAACCAUAUUCCUAGCAUUAGGAUCCUUUGAAAGCACAGGCUUUGCAAACAGACUUUUACGAUAUGGACUCGACAGUAAUGCAACAACAUAUCUACUGUAGUUAACUAUGGCAUGUGGGACCAGCUCAGCGUUGACCAUGAGAAUUUCACGUUCUUUUUACGUGCAAGAGAAGCUGUCAAGACACAGACACAACCUCGGCAGACAACCAUACCUCCAAACAACUUCAGCAAGGAAUAUUAGAGUGGAAAGGAUUUGCCCUGAAGUGAACAAUCGGGUGAACUACACAUUGUAACACUCCCUGGUGCACCUCUUAGACCAAGAAGUCAUCAACAUGGAGGACAAUAUGACUAAAUUCUGCACUUCAAACCUGUCAAUUAAGCCAAAUUGGACUAAAUAGAGUAGUGUAGUGCAAUCAUGAAAUGCACACAGGAUCUGUUUCUCUCUGUUGUGGCAAAUAUGUAUGAGCAAGAGUUGCAAUCAUCGCUGACUUGGAUGUCUACCUUUGAAUGUCUCUCUUCUUUUAAAUCAAGCAGUGAACAGUGAAUAUAACCUUUUUUAGGAUGCAUUGCUUUACCUCAUAAAUGUAAUCCAAAGACAUGUAUGAAAAAAUGACAUAAAUUCUCUAACUUUUGUUCUCUAAUCUUUUUUUGUAAGCAGUGUAGUCUACUGAAUAGGCAUGUAGACUUCUACGGUGAAGUCUAUAAAUAAAAUAAUCCAUAUUUGGUUA